rnacentral:rRNA from 1 species
UACGUAGGGGCAAGCGUUGUCCGGAUUAUUGGGCGUAAAGAGCGUGUAGGCGGCUAGGUAGGUCCGUUGUGAAAACUCGAGGCUCAACCUCGAGACGUCGAUGGAAACCAUCUAGCUAGAGUCCGGAAGAGGAGAGUGGAAUUCCUGGUGUAGCGGUGAAAUGCGCAGAUAUCAGGAAGAACACCAAUGGCGAAGGCAGCUCUCUGGGACGGUACUGACGCUGAGACGCGAAAGCGUGGGGAGCGAACAGG